CGGCCAGCGGCAACGUGGGAGAGUCGCGCGAGACUGUAAAUCUCGUCCUUUUAGGUGAGUAGGUUCGAAUCCUAUCUGGCUGACCA
rnacentral:tRNA from 1 species